rnacentral:rRNA from 1 species
UACGUAGGGGGGCAAGCGUUGUCCGGAUUUAUUGGGCGUAAAGAGCGUGUAGGCGGCUGGGUAGGUCCGUUGUGAAAACUCGAGGCUCAACCUCGAGACGCCCGAUGGAAACCCUCCAGCUAGAGUCCGGAAGAGGAGAGUGGAAUUCCUGGUGUAGCGGUGAAAUGCGUAGAUAUCAGGAGGAACACCGGUGGUGUAGACGGCUCUCUGGACCGUAACUGACGCUGAGACACGAAAGCGUGGGUAGCAAACAGG